AGCUGGUUGUGACUGUGUGCCAUCAGCAGUCCCAGUCUUGGUGCAGGCAGAAGACCAGCUCCACUCUAGAUCAAAGUCCAGAUUAUGUCACCCCCGGCCCCUCGGGAAUUGUGAGAACAAGCCCAAUGAUGUGAAAGUAUAGGGCUAAAAGUAUCAUCAAGCCAUGGCUCUUGAGCAAAUAUUUACUAAUUGAUUUCAGACACCUGAGAAGCCUUCAAAAAGAGAGAUUAUCCUCACACCAAAAAGACACAAGGCAACAAAACAAAACAAAAACCAACUACACAACUGUUCUGGACAGGAGGAACCAACAAUGUGUGGUAUCCAGUUGGCAGCAGGAGAGAAGGUCAAGCACCACAAUAAUCAGGAACAUGAAGAUUGCAGGGACAGCGGGAACCAAGGCAGCUGAUACAAUCUACAGACCACAAGAGAUUUAGGAAUAAAUGAGUAAAGAUUUUUAA